CCCUCCCCGCAGCCUGGGGGCGGGCUGAGCAGGGAGGGGGCGCACCUGAGAAAGCUGGUGCCUGGGCCUCAGCUAUGUGGGAGUCUCGGAGGACAAACUAGAAGGGCGCCGCUGUGGGAGGCGGCUGGGACCUUGCGGGGCAUGGGCACGGGGGAAGUCGGUUUGCCAAGUCCUAGAGCCCCUCAUCUUCCUCAGACGCGGUGGGAGGGGAAAGGGAGGUGGAGACGCUGAGCUUUCUUCCUUGCACAAACUUCAACAAGGGUUGGCACUUGUGACCAGUUCGGGACAGGGGACAGGACGAGGGUCUCGUGAAUGAUCCUGGGAGCGCAGCCAGUGCAUAUCCAGAUGUCCCCCGCUGCAAGAUGAUGUGGUCCUCAUCCUGACUUCUUCACCAACAAUCUUUGUGAAGAAGAACCUGGUAUCUUUCAGUACUGACCUUGCUCUGCGCCUUCACAACGCUCUCUAGUCCCCUGUGGCACUCUUAUCCCCCUGGGAAUGUGAGAUACAGAAGGGCUGGAUAUUUGCCUAAAGCUGCACAUUGGUGUUGGCUCCCAGAAAGCCCCUGGAAGGCCAAACUCAUCAUAGCAUCUACUUUCGGAGAACCCAGCCUGGGACAUAUCAAGUUUAUGUACACAGGACAUAGGCGGCAUGUAAUGAUUUUGAUUAAACAAUUAUUCUGCUCA